rnacentral:rRNA from 1 species
AUUGAACGCUGGCGGCAGGCUUAAUACAUGCAAGUCGAGCGAGCGGAGGACGGGCGAGCAAUGUAUGGGAAACUGCCUGAUGGAGGGGGAUAACUACUGUAAACGGUAGCUAAUACCGCAUACCAUCAGUUGUGCCCAGAUGGGAUUAGCUAGCAGGUGGGGUAAUGGCUCACCGAGGCGACGAUCCCCAGCUGGUCCGAGAGGAUGACCGGCCACACUGGGACUGAGACACGGUCCAGACUCCUACGGGAGGCAGCAGUGGGGAAUAUUGCACAAUGGGCGAAAGCCUGAUGGAGCCAUGCCGCGUGUGUGAAGAAGGCCUUCGGGUUGUAAAGCACUGUUAGCAAAGAGGCGUUACUCGCAGAAGAAGCACCGGCUAACUCCGUGCCAGCCGCCGCGGUAAUAC